rnacentral:lncRNA from 1 species
CUUCAGAAGAUAAUUGCUAUUGUUUCCGAUGCUGUAAAGCAAAGCCUAAAGAAGAAGGGAAUGCACGUUCCUCCAUGGCGAAAAGCUGAGUAUGUCAAGUCCAAAUGGCUCUCUCCUCAUAACCGAACCACGCCUUCUCCUUCGCCCACUGUUACAUCCACAUCCACAAUUGAAACACCCAAAGAAGUUGAAUUAGAAACCAAAGCUAAAGAGAAAACCCAACCUGAAUUGAACCCCGAAAUGAAAAACUCAGUUGAAGAUUCUGAGUUGGGGGAAUCCAUAUUUGCUUUCUCUGAUAGCUCUGAAGAAGGGAAGGAAGAGGAGAAAGAAGCAUGGAAGCUACCUGAGAUAAAACCCAAGAAUUCACUAAUUGGGGUUAAGCUCGUGACUGGUUUGGCUUCAGUAAUAGAAGAUGAACCAAUAAAAUUUUGACUUUUUUUAAUUUUCCCUUCUUCUUUUUUUGCACCCUUUUGGGUUAUUAGAGAAUCAAAUACUAUGGUACAUGACUUACCUGUUUGAAUCCCCUUCUGUUUUUUUUAUGUAAGGGUUGAUCUGAUAAUAUGAAAU